rnacentral:lncRNA from 1 species
CAUCAUUAGUGAAAGUGAAACUAUUCAGUGUGUGGGAUCCUUCAACCCCUGUAGCGCCGUCAGAGUUACCACGCUUAAGCGGCUGUCUGAAAGAUGGACAAGGCUUUUGUUCUUGAUGGAUGCGCUGUGUUUUUGUUCCUCCCUCAAGUUGCUGAUUCCUGAUAAGGUUUGACGCUGUAAAGACGAGUGAUGUUUGCUUUGUUCUGCCACUCCUUCUCCUCCGCCCUGCAGAAGACAAGAUGUCAGAUGACAGUCAAACUGAAAGAUAUGGCAAGAAAACGGUAGAAUUCCCAGAAAAGAUAUUGAAGAGAAGGAGGGGACGGAGGAACCGGUCCUACAGGGGGAUGACUGGGCAUCCGGAGAGCAGUCUCUAAACUUCAGAGAAACACAAAAGAUACGUCCCAAAGAUCUGCUUCAGAAGAAAGAUGGCAGCCUGGAGUGGGGUGACUAUUUUUCACAAACUUUCCACAUAUUUGACAAAUUUAUUUUAAUGUAAAGCUUUUAUGGAGCAGAGUGAAGAACAAUGUGUGUUGUCUGUUUGUAAAGUGGACUGUCGACGAAUCAACUCUUUAUAGCAUGGAAGGGGCGAAGAUAGGUUUGAUGUUCUGUGUUGAGACAAAGAACCCUGGUGCUCCCAGGGACAUGGACAUCAUGGACAGGUUCUACAGAAAGUUUGGGUUUGAAGGUGAAAUAAUAAGACAGCCAACUAAAGAGUUCAUGCUGAGGUCUUUGCAGAAUCUUGCCAACUACAGUCCAAAACCAGUCAGCUGCAUCCUGAUUGCAUUCUCCGGUCAUGGUGAUGAAAACGUUGGGGAAUGGAACGAAACUGAGCUGGUCACCGCUGAUCACCAACGAGUGAAUGAAUAGAGGAGUUUGGAGUCAUGCACGGCUCAGGCAAAAUCCAGGGAUUAAGAGCUAAGAAUGAGCGUGAUGAGGAAUACCUCCGAAAAUACAGGACAAGCUACCGGUCAGCUGUCAUCAACGACAUGUUUGCAGCGUAUGCAGCAACUCCAGGCAAUCCAGCCUACAUGGAUGAAUUGACAGGGGGCUAUCUGUUCUUCUGCAUUGAAAGAGUGUUUCUGGACCACAGCACAGUCGGAAUACACUUCAUGGAUCUGUUCAUAAGGGUGAAGCAGUGCUUCGAAAAAAUCAACUCAAGCACAUGCGUUGAUUUACCACUGCUGACCAUGAACAUGGAGAGCACCUUCAGCCAUCUCCUCUAUCUGGGCUAGAGCUGUACUAAAAUACAAUACCUGCGUUAUUCCUCUACUACUCUCUCUCUAUAUAUAUUAUUAUUAAGGGACCAUUUCAGUUUCUGAAUCAGUUCUCUGAUUUUGCUUUUGUCAUUUAGAGCAUGUAAAGUUCCGAAAUCAAGAUUUGGUGGAAUAACCCUGCUUUUUAAUCACAGUUUUUUCAUGCAUCUUGGCAUCAUGUUCUCCUCCUCCACCAGUCUUACACACUGCU